GACGAAGGUGGCGACCGUUGUUCGGAAUCACUGGGCAUAAAGAGCACGUAGGCGGCAAGGUAUGUCGGGUGUGAAAUCCCUCGGCCUAACCGAGGAAUUGCGCCCGAAACUACCUUGCUUGAGGAGGGAAGGGGAGCGUGGAAUUCCUGGUGGAGCGGUGAAAUGCGUUGAUAUCAGGAGGAACACCGGCGGCGAAGGCGACGCUCUGGUCCAUUACUGACGCUGAGGUGCGAAAGCCAGGGGAGCAAACGGG
rnacentral:rRNA from 1 species